AAUUCCCUCCCUUAGUCGUAUCAAAACAAAAAACUUCCCUCCUAAGUUGAAAAAAAUUAGGUCAUUCUCCCUCCCUUUCACUCUCACCAUCUCACCAGCCUAUCGAGAGUGAAAUCGAUACACUCUCGCUCUCACUCUCACUCUUAGUCCCAAUCUCUCUCGCUCUCGCUCUCACCUCUCACUUUCGCUCUCACUCUCUCUCUCUCUCUCCGCCGGUCCAGCUCAAAGUCGCUACUUGGUCCGGUAGUUUACUCUCUCCGCCGCCUCAGCUCGAAGUCGAUUUCAAUUAUCUUGAGAAGCCAUCGCCGCCACCAAGAUCUCUCUCACUAUCGCCGCCGGUCUCGGGAUCUCUCUCACUAUCGCUGCCGGUGUCAGUGUCAAGAAAUAUAAAGAGCCUCCUUCUUCUAUUGGAGAUGCCUCCAAUAGGGUUCGUUCUCUUCUCUCUCUCUUUCUGUUUAUGCCCUGGGGCUAUUGUUGGUUACUUUAAUCAGCGAUUGAUAAGCUUCCUUCUGUGUUUGUAUUACUGUUGGGGCUUAAAUGGUUCUGGGCUUAAUUCUAGGUCAUUCAAUGACCAGUGGGAUUUCUUGUUUAGGCGUUUUAGCUUUAGAUUGGUAUAUUCUGUGCUAAAGCUGUUGGUUUAUUUGCAAACAAACAAAUAGAUUAAUAAAAGGGGCGAUACAGUGGAUGAGAAGAUCAAGAAGCUUGAUGUUGAACUUAAUAGAUACAGAGAGCAUGUCAAGAAGACAAGGAGCUUUCAGCAAAAGUUGCCAAGAUUGUGGGAGCGACUCCCAUUGUUACAGAAGAUCACACUCAGCCAUCAAAAUCAGCAGCAGCAAACACUUGAUAUGAUAUGCUAGAGUUUAUAUAUGAUUACCACUACAUGAAAUUGUUGUGGCUUUGAAACCCCCAGGCCUGAGUUUUCAGGGAGGAUACCCGAGAAAGAGAAAGCUAUAUUAGGCUUAUCGUGGACAUGUUGAAAAUUGUUGAAGGGAUGAAGUCAUUCAGUCUCCGAUCAAUAUGCAAACACUUGAGAUGCUGGAGAAGGAGGAGAAGCUCCUUGGCAGCGUUGUAAUAAAGAAACACUACUGUUUCUAUGAGUCGCAUUUGUAAUUGAUUGGGGGUUCUUCAAAAUUGAAUCCUAAAGACGGUCUAGAGACGAAGGGGGAGACUCUUGGUGGAUUGGGUACUGCUGGUAGAAACAUUCACAAUCAGGAAGAAUUUCCAGGUCGUACAAUGGCAAUUAUUUUAAGUGUUUCUGCAAAUUUAACUCUCGAUUUCUCAAAUUUCUUUGUUUUGUUUUUGAGCUAGAAUCGAAGGAGAAGGGCAAUAAUGAGCUAGGGGAAUCCUUUUUUUCUUGUCUGUUUCAUUUUACAUCAAUUAUUACUUGAGGUAAAGAAGUAUUCAAUUUGCCAAAACUUCAGUAUCUGUAACUGUACUCAUCAAGUUUUGCAAAUUUCGGGAC